rnacentral:rRNA from 1 species
UACAGAGGAUGCAAGCGUUAUCCGGAAUGAUUGGGCGUAAAGCGUCUGUAGGUGGCUUUUUUAAGUCCGCCGUCAAAUCCCAGGGCUCAACUCUGGACAGGCGGUGGAAAACUACCAAGCUGGAGUACGGUAGGGGCAGAGGGAAUUUCCGGUGGAGCGGUGAAAAUGCGUAGAGAUCGGAAAGAACACCAACGGCGAAAAGCACUCUGCUGGGGCCGACACUGACACUGAGAGACGAAAGCUAGGGGGAGCGAAUGGG